UGUAAUGCGCGUCUUAUAACAAUAGCACAGUUUUCACUGGCCCAAAACAAAUCGUGCCAAUUUGACCCCCUCCCUAACUAGAACAGUUUUUUUUACUGCUGGUCAAAAAAGUCAUACUAGUAAUUUAUCAUGUCAAUCAAAGCUCUCAAUGACACUCACCACUUUCACCUUUCUGUUGGUCAUCUUAUUUCUACAGUGAGUUUGGAUCUAAGAUCGUGACGUUGAAGCCAGUGGUGAAGGUUUUAUCCAAACAGUUUGAGUCCAGAGAGAAGGCGGUGAGAGAUGAAGUCAAGCUGCUCUCUGUUGAGAUCUACAAAUGGAUCAGAGAUGCUCUAAGACCUCCACUGCAAAAUAUUAACUCAGUUCAGCUGAAGGAGCUGGAGGAAGAGUGGGCGAAGCUGCCUUCAUCUCCUCCCAAGCAGACCAGGUUCCUGCGCUCACAGCAGGACCUGAAGGCAAAGUUUGAACAGCACCAAGCCCAAGGGGAACCGUCUGAUGGAGAGGAUGAGGCGGACACGGUAGCAGCAGUGGAUCCUUACGAACUGCUGGAAGCCGUGGACAUUUUGUCAAAGAUGCCCAAAGACUUUUAUGCCA